GCCGGCUGCGCCGCUCGCCUCCAAGGGAGCGUUCCGUGCUGGCCCCUCGCUCGGCUCCGCUCCGCCUCCGCCACGCCGCUCUCCGAGCUUCGGCAGCAGCCAGCGCCCCCUCCACGCUGCGACCCCGGCUCUCGGCUCUCCGUCCCUGUAGCUCCGUGCCCAGCACCUCGCGCCCCGCAACCUCGCCGUCUCCCAAGUCCCGGGCCCCGCUUCUGUCGCUGUCCGUCGCUGUCCGUGUGUCGCUCGCUCGGUCUGUCUCUCCGCCUCCCCAGCCCUUCCUUCCUCCCUGUCUCCCUCGCUGGCUUGCACGUUCGCUCGCUCUCGGACGCGGCGAAACAGCUUCGCAGGCAAAUCCCAGAAACCUUUGCAAAAAGCUUGCAAUGAAAUUUAAGAAGUUCUUCGAUUUCGGCGCCAUUUUCGAGUGGAGCCAGAGGUGACAUGCGAUUUUUUAAAAAGGGACUUGGUGGCUGGCGUCUUUCCCGACUGUAACGUGGGUUACGGCAGGCAGAAAAACAUCUGGUGAUAAUUCUGAAAAAAGUGCUGUGGCGUUUGGGGGGGUUGUAAAGCACGUUUUGCGGGCGGGAUGGGGGCAAAUCUGACAUUUAAAGUGUUUAACAAAUGAGUGCGGCCGGGAAAUUCUCAGGAAACGGACUGGGAAAAAAAAAACAACAACUAACAUGGAGGGGCGGGGAGAGAAAACUGAGUAAGGGGCAGUGACCGACUGUCAGCCUCGCUAGGGUCGGGAGCGACUGGUUUUGACAGAAUGUAAAUGAACUUUUCCUCUUAUUUGCAAGAAGUUAGUUAUGUCUUGGAAAGAAAUGUGUGAUUAAUUUCACAUUGUCUCUCCCGAAUUAAAACUUUAAAGGUUGUUUAGUUUUCCCCGUAGGGACUUGACAUUGUGGAAGUUUGGCUAGAAUGCGCCGAGAGAAGGUACAUCGUGUGUUUGGGGUGUGGGGGACGAAGGCAUAUGCAAAAUUAAAAGACAAAACGUUGUAGAGUAUGAACAGAGGAAGAGGCGUAUUCUUUGGCUCUUAAAUCAUUUAGCCAAACACAUUGCAGUUCAGAAGGGGGUGGGGCUAUGGCAACUCGAAAGUAUCGAUUCUUUGUCUAUUGUAUCAGUGAAUGACCCUCUCCUGAAGUGACAAGACGCCCCUUUGUAAUCUCUUUUCGUAAGUAAAUUUCAGUCUAAGGGGAAAUAUGUAAACUAGGGGAUCGAGGUGGCUUUUUAGGGGUGUAACUCGUUGUACUAUCACUGGGAGAGAUGAAAGGGGUUAGGGUGAAAGGUAUAAAUGAAUUUGAUUCCAAGAGCAAUCUGGAAGGGACCUUCGCCUUUGACACCGAUGCUGUUUCGAAUGAACUUUUGUUUUUCUAAGUAGUCAACUAAGGAAAUGUUAAAUUAGGCAUGACUUUAACUUCUGACAUGAUGGCUCGUAUAUUUGUGUGGAACAAAAUGUUGGGAGAAAGUUGUGGAGUUUUACAUGAUAAUUGUACAUUUGCUAAACAUGUUUUUUUUUUCUUUUUAAGGGCAGUCAACGACAUUUUUCUCCAUUAAUCCCAAAGUCAGUGUAAAAGUUGUUUGUAAAUAUCAUUGCCAAAACAAGAUGGAAUGUAGAGAUACUUGAUUGUCGCAAUUUAGGGAAUGGGGUUAUUGUUACUAAUGACUUUUUUUUUUUACCAUGACAUAGUGUAUUUGUUACCACUGGAUCUCAGUCUGGAUGUUAUAAAUUCGAUACUUAAUCUUAUUAAAUACUCUGCACAUUUUAUUAACUAAUAAAUAGGACACUUAACAUUCAUUGUACUGGUUUUGAAAAACCGACUUAAUUUGUAAGUGUAACAAGAUACUUACAGUUGGAUAAUUUAAAUGUCUAUUACUUGUGCUGAAAUGUAUUUAACUUUCAAAACCAUUACAGUUAGUGCUGAUUUUGUUGUUUUAACUUUUAGGUUUGUGAUUGAGGAUUUCAGAGUGGGUUUUUUUUUUAAUGCUUAAUUGAAUAUUGUAUUCAAACAAAAAGAGGGCAUGCAUGUGACUUGUUGCUAAUAUGUGUCCAUUUUAAAAAGGAAAAAGUGGUAUCUAAUGAGUUAAUCAUUAAGGAGUAUGCGCAGUGCCGGCCAUUUCAGGACAUGAAAGUUUCUGUGGAGCUGCUUGAAACAGGAAGGAGCGACUUGACAUCAAGUAUUUAAACUUUUUGAUUUAUGUUUUGAUAGAUGACAUUGAUAGGUAUAAAUUAUAAAUAAGUUUGAGUAACCAGUUUAAUAUGUAAACUGGUAUUUCAUCUACAGAAAGUUCUCUGUCAUUGUUUGGAGCUCUUUAAAAUAACUCAGCUGGGGUGUUUAAGAAUAAAAACACUAGCAGUGAGUUAGGACAUCUAAUGCUUUUAAAGAUAGAUGUAUAUGUCGCAACGAUAGUGUAAGAAUCAGCUGAAGCUACCGGUGAGGUUUUGGUUAUUUUCUUUCAGUCAUCUGAGUCCAUUUCCAAUAAAGGUUGUUUUUUUGUUUCGUUUUUUGUUUUUUUUUAAUGGGGACAAUGAAUGAGACUUGUAAUAUGCAGCAGGAAGAAGUUUCACCAAGACUUUGAAACUGGCAAGAAUGAUCCAGAUGUCCAAUUGCCUCUACUUAACCUUAUUCGUCUACCUUCAGAAGUAAUUAGAUUCUCUUCCACACUAAUUCGUAUCCCCCAUCGCUCUGCUUUUCACCCACUACGUUGUUCCAAGAUUCAUCCUCAGGGGAAAAAAUUGAGAGCCACACUUUCGGCUCCACCUGCAGCUCCUGGAAAUCAAAUGGUGAAGUUAUAAGAAGUACCUUAACUUGGAGUGAAGUGGCCUAGUCAUAAGUUUUGCCCUAUUCCUUGCCAGGGGGUGGGGCGGGGCUUCCUUCAGUCAUCCAGUCUUUAUUCACCCGCAGGUACCCCCAGAUCGAUCCCCCUUCAUUGACUCCGAGGGGAUACAGCAGCAAUUCAUGUUUUGAAGUGUUCUAAAUGGUUCAAAACGUGAGGCGCUGCUAUACCCCCUCGUGGGGAAGGUAGAAGGUGGGGUCUGCCGGACGCGUGUUCCUGCCACCAGGUGCCCGCUCCCCGCGAGGCCGGCUCAGGAGCAGGUAGGUGGGCGGGGGCUCGCGUCUCUGUUUCCGGCGGGUCCUCGCCCUUGUCCACGCAGCAGGGCUGUAGUCCGGGGAGGGCAGUAUUCCUGGCUAGGCUGGGGCGCAUAGGCGGUGCGAGUCGAGGAGAGACGCGGUGCCCGCGCUCAGCCGUGCCCUAGCAGCGGGAACAGUUCUGCAGUGAGCGAUCGGUGCUCUGGGGUAUUGUUUCCGCUGCCAGGGUAAGUCUGGGACUGCCGUUCGGGCCUACCCAGCAGGUAAGUCUUAGGCCAUCGCCUGCGGUGUCGGCCCCGGGAGCAGCGAGACCCAAGAUUGCAUCAAACGUUUGCCCCGUCUCUGCAUAUGUGACUGGACGUGAAUGAUGCUUCAUUUUGGCACCCCCUUUCCCUGCUCAGGUAGAAUGUAAACAAUUGAAAAAAAUCCCUUCCCAAUCAGAAUACCACCCACAGGACAACGAAGAAAACCUAUCUUCAGUCCCCACCCACGAAAUGCUGGGGGGUGGGGAGGACUGGAAAAGGAGUAAGGGGAGAGGAAGGGUGAGCAGCUGCAAGAAGUCUUUACACCUCUCUGCGGUUCCUGGUAAACGCGCUCAUGUCCUGGGUAUGGAAGGGACUUAAGAAUUCAGGAAAGAUCAAAAUAACGGGCCUCUUCCCCACUCCCUCGCCCUCCCUUCCCCGCUGCUGGGGGGUUAGGGAGGCUCCGUGGAGCUCCAGCACUCUAGAAGGAUCGGGUGAGGCGCGAGGCCUUGCGGGCGGGUGAACCCAAGGUGGGGUGGAAGGCUCCAACCCGCCCAAUCUGAGCCCGAGGCCUGCUGAGAAGCAUGGGGGCCUUGGGAUAGUUCCAGAAUGAGGAUGUGCGUUUCUAGCUGCUUUGCGCCCUCCUCCCCCAAAAAUCUGCUACCACAAUUCCAACCCGGCGGCACGCCCCCAAGACUCCUUUGUCGCCCCAGGGGCGGGACCUGAGCUGUCGAUUUCAGGAGCCCUUCGUGACUUCAAAAGUCCUGGGCACUGUUGCUCAUGAGUGCUGCACAACUGUCGCCCUCUAAAGCCACCUCCAUCCCUCACUGGGCUGGCCUCCUGAGCCUUCGAAGGAAGCCCGGUGCCAGCCAGCCUUCCUGAAAGACCAAGCCCGCGCCAUCCGGCUUCCUCCAGUGGACGCCUGCAGGACCCAGGAAUGUUUUUCUUGAAGGCAUCCAGCAUCUCCAGUUAGCAGUACUGAUUUUUUUUCCCCCCAACAAAGGAACACUACAUCAACACUGUUGGCGGGGACCUGGACACAGAAGACUCCUGUUUCAAGAAAAUACAAUCAUCUCUCAAAGGCUGUAAUUUAUAUGCAUUUUAAAACUCUAGGCAUUGAAAACCACCCAAGUGUCCCAAAUAGAAGGGUAAUAUAUAAUCAAUCACUCAGUGUAAUAUUAUACAUCCUUUAAAAAUGUUAUUGGGAAAUGUUUUAUGAUCUGUAAGUCCAAGGAAUCCUCUCCCACCAUUUCUUUCCCCCCGCUGUUCCCCCAUACCCACACUUCUUUGUUCCAAUUGGCAUGUAAAUUUGGUUUUCCCGCCAAAUGAGUCAGUCAUGAUGGGAACCUCAACUGAUUUGAACAGAUGUGUGUCAAUGUUACUUGGAAAACUAGAUGUCAAUAACCAGGGUCACAGAAAAAGGCAGUGGUCACAACUCUGUAAAAAUGUAUGCAUGCACACAGACAAGAACUAAAGUGGAACCCCACACAGGAAAACAGUGGGCUGUACUCCAGUGCUGGGACAUUGAAUGACUGUAUGCUGCUUUUGAUUUCCGUUAAUAUGGGCAACUGUCCAAUUAAAAAAAAAACUCCUAAGGACUCUGCAGUGCAAAUUGUUUUGCUGAUUGUUUUAAAACACCAUACCUAUCAACUCAUCAAGGCAAAUGGGGCAGCGGGGGACUGGGUUCGUUCCCUGAAUCCUGGACUGCUAUAGAGCUCAGGGCAACAUUUGCAGAAAACCUGAGCCUAUGAGAUGGGAGUUAUAGGCAGCUUUCCUGAGGCUGUGUAAGAUGAAAAUAAAACUAGGUUCAAAAAAUAUGUUUGGGGAAGAUCAAUGAGUUUAUCGAUAGAAGUUAAAAGACUUGAGUCUGGCU
rnacentral:lncRNA from 1 species